rnacentral:lncRNA from 1 species
UUUUAGUAAUCCUAUAUAUGUUUUAUGGUAUGAAUUAUGUUAAAUAUUUGGAUCUUAAUAGCUAAUCUUCGGGUUUGCCACCCAGAACAAUCCAAACAGGUACAUAUCUUCCCAGUUAAUGCCAUCAUCAAACACUUCUUAUCGAAUUCAAUGCAAUGGACAAUCAUCACAGUUGUCAACCGCAAGUCUGUUCCCGGUUUAAAUAAAUCAGUGGGAAUCAUCUUUAGGUAGGAAAAGCCAGGAGCCCUAGAGCCGAUGCAGGCCACCUAAUUAAAACCUAGCCGCCACUAAGGGAUGGAAUUAGAGACACAAAAGGCGAAUAAGACUCCAACAAAAGUCGAGUAUUUGGGAGAGACUUUUUGUAUCCCUUUAUUUUAGUCUUCGAUAACUAAAUACUUCUCAGUUAACUCAUCAAACAUAUAGUUUUUCAGGAGAGCUAUGUCAGUCGCAUUAUGCAAGAACUGAAUAUUGAUU